GAAGCAGCUUCUCAGCUCCAUCUCGGCUACCCGCCUGUUUCAGCCGGCCUGCCUCCACUCCAGCCUCCGCCAUGUCCAUCAGGGUGACCCAGAAGUCCUACAAGAUGUCCACCUCCGGCCCCCGGGACUUCAGCAGCCGCUCCUACACCAGCGGGCCCGCCACCCACGUCAGCUCCUCAAGCUUUUCCCGGGUGGGCAGCAGCGGCAGCUUCCGGGGCGGCCUGGGCAUCACAGCCAUCACCGUGAACCAGAACCUGCUGAGUCCCCUUAAGCUGGAGGUGGACCCCAACAUCCAGGCGGUGCGCACCCAGGAGAAGGAGCAGAUCAAGACCCUCCACAACAAGUUUGCCUCCUUCAUCGACAAGGUGCGGCUCCUGGAGCAGCAGAACAAAAUGCUGGAGACCCAGUGGAGCCUCCUGCAGCAGCAGAAGACAGCCCGCGGCCACCUGGACAACGUGUUCGAGAGUUACAUCAACAACCUCCGGCGGCAACUGGACACGCUGGGCCAGGAGACGCUGAAGCUGGAGGCGAAGCUGGGCGACAUGCAGGGCCUGGUGGAGGACUUCAAGAACAAGUACGAGGAUGAGAUCAACCAGCGCACAGAGAUGGAGCAUGAAUUCGUCCUCCUCAAGAAGGAUGUGGAUGAAGCUUCCAUGAACGAGGUGGAGCUGGAGUCUCGCCUGGAGGGGCUGACGACGAGAUCACUUCCUCAGGCGGCUGUAUGAGGAGGAGAUCCGUGAACUGCGGUCCCAGAUCUCGGACACAUCCGUGGUCCCGUCCAUGGACAGCAGCCGCUCCCUGGACAUGGACGGCAUCAUCGCCGAGGUCCGCGCCCAGGACGAAGAGCUCGCCAACGCAGCCGGGCCGAGCUGAGAGCAGGUACCAGACCAAGUACGAGGAGCUGCAGACGCUGGCCGGGAAGCACGGGGGUAACUUGCGCCGCGCCAAGACGGAGAUCUCCGAGAUGAACCGGAACAUCAGCCGGCUGCAGGCUGAGAUCGAGGGUCUUAGAGGCCAGAGGGCUUCCCCGGAGGCCGCCAUCGCAGAUGCAGAGCAGCGUGGGGAGAUGGCCGUUGAGGACGCCAACAACAAGCUGGCCGAGCUGGAGGCCGCCCUGCAGCGGGCCAAGCAGGACAUGGCGCGGCAGCUGCGCGAGGACCAGGAGCUCGUGAUCGUCCAGCGGGCCCUGGACAUCGAGAUCGCCACCUACCGGAAGCUGCUGGAGGGCGAGGGGAGCCGGCUGGAGUCUGGCAUGCAGAACAUGAGGAUCCAUACCAAGACCACCAGUGGCUACUCGGGUGGCCUGAGCUCCCCCUACGGCUCCGGCCUCCGCUACGGCUUUGGCUUUGGCUCUGGCGGGGGCUCCAGCACCUUCAGCCGCACCAGCUCCUCCAGGACCGUGGGGGUGAAGAAGAUGGAGACCCGUGACGGGAAAUUGGUGUCUGAGUCCUCUGAUGUCCUCCCAAGUGAAUGGCCAUCGCAGCCCCGCCCAGUCUGCCCCCUCCUGGGGCUGCCCCAGAGCCUGUGGGGGAGAUGGCUUUGCAGGGAGUAG